GAAGUAAAUAACUGCAAUGUUUGUAUACAGGCACAUCAACCUCUGAAUGUUCUGCAUGAUUUGGCUGGGAGAAAUAUGCCAGAUAGAGUAAUUGGACUGGUCCCUCUGUUCACCAACAAGUUGUCUCAACGUCAGAUCGGAAUCAGUGCCUCAGGACUCAUGACCAUCACGAAGGACACUAUCUUAACGAUCAUCGGUACCCUCCUCACCUACGUUUUCAUUGUGAUCCAGUUUAAACCGGAAUCAAG